rnacentral:rRNA from 1 species
CAGUCGCCGCGGGAACACGAAGGGUGCAAGCGUUAAUCGGAAUUACUGGGCGUAAAGCGUGCGUAGGCGGUGAGUUAAGUCUGCUGUGAAAUCCCCGGGCUCAACCUGGGAAUGGCAGUGGAUACUGGCUCGCUAGAGUGUGUCAGAGGAUGGUGGAAUUCCCGGUGUAGCGGUGAAAUGCGUAGAGAUCGGGAGGAACAUCAGUGGCGAAGGCGGCCAUCUGGGACAACACUGACGCUGAGGCACGAAAGCGUGGGGAGCAAACAGGAUUAGAUACCCGAGUAGUCCCUGUCUCUUAUAC